rnacentral:lncRNA from 1 species
UAUAUGGGAAAUUUUAUUUUAAAAGUAGGGUCAAAUGCAUACAGCUCCCUACAAACAUAGCCAAUUGCGGAUAUAUCCCUGCAAAAUCGAAACUCCAUAAUUGUUCCUACAAAAGUCCCAAGUUAUGCAGAUAUGUCCCUGCAGUUAUCAUCUGUUAGUGAGCUGUUUGUUUUUUAACAGUGAAGUCGUGAAAUGACCAUUUUAUCCUCACAAAUAUAUCCCUCCAAAAGUUUUCCUCUUCCCCUUCUCUUUCUUUUCCUUUUCGGACCGUCGAAAAAGACGACGGCGGCGGCGGCGCGGGGUCAGGUUCGCCGACGACGAAGAAAAGGCAAGAACGCCGAGCACCGGAGCUCUACCCGGAGCUCGUCGCCCUCAACGUCGUCCCCUCCCUCGUCGGCACCGACGCCAACGUCCUCGGUGACCACGACGACCCCGCACACGCCCUCGUCGCCGCCCUCGUCGCCAACAACGCCCUCGAGCUUCUCGUCUAGAAACUCGCCCGCCUUUCCUUCGAGAUCGACCCCGACGAGAUUCUUCUCCCUCGCCGGUGACGAAGAAGAGGGAAGAGGAAGAAGGAAGAAGGAAGAAGAAAGAAGGGAGAAAAAGGGAGAAGAGGAAGAGGGAAGAGGAAAAGGAAGAGGGUUCGCCACCGUCGCCGUCAUAUCUCCUCGCCGGCGACGAAGUAGAAGGAAGAGGAAGAGGAGGAAGAGGAAGAGGGGUAAAUACGUCAAUUCACACUAUAAUUAAUCAUGGUUAAGUAUUUUAAGCAUGGUUAACGAAAAUUUUCUAACAGAUCUGGACGGUAGGGAUAUAUCUGCAUAACUUAGGACUUUUGCGGGAAUAACUUAUGGAGUUUCUAAUUUGCAGGGAUAUAUCCGCAAUUUACUAUGUUUAAAGGAACGUGUAUACAAAUAACCCUUAAAAGUAAUAUAGACGAUAUCUAAAUUUUUAUUUUGACAAUUAGACCAUCUAAAUUAACUUUAUGAAAACCUCUAUACCUGUAAAUUUAUUCCCACCACCAUUUCGAGUGCUACUAUAAAUAUCUAAAUACUAUUGAUAUAUUAAUAUAUAUUUACAAUAUACAAAAAAAAUGUGUAAAAAUUCAUGAAUUCUAAAAUUUUAAUUUUGACAAUUAGACAUCCUAAAUUUUAUGAAAUAGUUUAAUUGUCCUUCUGAUCAAGCAAAAUUUUGCAUAUAGUUUUUCUAUAAUUUAAAAAAAAAAUUAAUUUUUUUUGUCUUUCUUGUUUUUAUAGGUAAGUAUGGUGAUGAAAAUAUAAAGUGAAUCUACCUUUAAUUUUAUUACUUUUCUGAUAUGUUAGAAUGGAGAAAAAUAGAUUUUUUUUAUAUUUUUAAAUAUUUACAAAAUGGAUAUAAUUAUUACUGUCAUAUUUUUAACUACAUACAUCUUUAAUUAUAUAUUUUUUUUUUUGUUACAUCCAAUCUUAAUAUUUUUUUAAAAAAAAAUAUUUAUUCUCGAAAUAUGAAAAUUUUUGAUUAAAAUUUAUUUAAUUCAUUCCACAUAAAAAAACUGCGGCGGGAGCGAUUUUCUCGGGUGGAGUUUGAAACGCGGCACACCCGUUGGUGGGCCCCACGGGCCGUCCCCAUCUCUCCACCGUACGAUCUCCGAAUCGAUGUAUCUUAAUAUGUGCGAUGACGUGUCGCUGUACACCGACGCACGGAAAAGGAGGAUUUCGCCACGUGUACGCCUAAGCGUCGGGCCCGAUCCACGUCACUCGACCGUUUUUGACCGGCACGUGUCCCUCUCCGGUUGGUUUAACCGGGUCGGUGACCGGGAGGGGCAUUUAAGUAAGGAAAAUAGUAAACACACUGCCCAUGUUGUUGUUGUUGUUACUUAUACUCGCUCCUCGGCGGCGAUUUACUCUCCUCUCCUCGGCGGCGAUGGUAAUGGGGUGGUGGGACCGCAUCGUGUUCCCGAUGCGGAGGGUCUGGAUCGGCGUCGCCUCCCGCCUCGGGAUGCGCAAGUCCGGUAAGAUGGACGGCCGCGAUCGAUUCUCGCCUUCGCCGGAAUUUUCCUUNCUAUUCUUUUUUUUUUCCUUCUUCUUUCUUCUGUUUUUUCAUUUCUGGCCUGACAAUGGCGGUGGCAGUUUGGAUUGUUGAGCAGCGGCGGCGGCGGUCUCGACGGCGUCGGCGUUUGUGCACAACAGCAUCGGCGGCAGUCACUACAGCAACGACGGCAGUCACUACAGCAACGGCGACUUUUCUCCUUUUCGUUUUCUCUUUUUUUUUAAAAAAAAACUCUUCUCCUCAUUCUUUUUUUUAUUCUUCUUCUUUUUUUUCUUUACUUCUUGCCUGACAACAUCGAAUGGCAGCUUAGGCGGUGCCAGCGGCGGCUUGGGCGGCGUCGGCAGUACGCACGACAGUGGGAAGCAGCGUCAGCGGUCAUGGUGGCAGUGGCGGCCGCGGGGACAAUGGCGGUCGCUACAACAACAUCAGCAGCGGUCACGACGGCAACAGCCACCGUUUUCCUUUUCUUUUUUUUUUUCUUUUUUUUUGUUUCUCUUCCACUUAUUCUCUGUAACUCGCUCUUCUUCUUUUUCUUCUUUUUUUUUUUAUCUCUUCUUCCUCCUCUUCCUUCUUCUUCUUCUUCCUCUUCUUCUAUUUGAAAGAUAAUUGAAAAUUUAAUGUCACUAUAAUUUUUUUUCCCUAAAAACACCUCCUUAAAUAUAUUUUUUUAAAAAUUAAUUAUUUUUUCGCAUAUUUUUUUAUUUUUAUUUAAUUAUUUUUUUUAAAUAUUAUAUUUAUAUUAUCUAUCCACAGCGAAGCGCGGAUCCUACACUAGUUAUAUUUUAUAACACAUCACUAUUACUCAGGAGGAGGAUCAAACAAACUCUCAUGUUAUUUUAUUCAUUACCGGUUAUUACAGGAUCGGAUGUGCUGCUCUAAUCACUCCAAACAUGUUCGUCGACUUAAUUUAGUAAUGCACACAACACUCCCAACUUAAACAAAAUUAUACCAUACAAAACAAAAUUUCAAAUUUGAAGAGGGAGACCGACCGUCCCUACGGCAAGUGGCAAAAUAUUUGGUGGUUGAUAUCCAAGGUCCCAAGUUCGAGUACUAAUUGAUUUACAUUUUCAGCUAAAUUUAUUUUUAAAUAAAAUAAACGAAGCGGGUAGCGUGCUAUCUAUCUCUCCAAAAAAAAAAAAAAUUGAAGAAGGAGAGAUUUAAGUAACCGUAUACAACAAGAAGGGAGGAUUCUAAUCGACUCUAACACUUUACUGUGGAGAUAUAUAAUCAAUAACCAUCUCAUUUUCUUUACGGAAAAAGGCUCAUUCAAUACUUGCCGAUCACUGCAUCUGCAUUCAUGGGACAUACAAAAAGCCCAAACCACAAAGCAAAAGAGUAGGCCGCUCUGAUCCAGUCAGUUUCAGCAACAAUCAUAGAUGGUCCCUCAUCUACUGACUUUUAUCUUACACGUCCACUCUGUAACUGACCUCAUUUUAAUUCAGCAAUGUCUGGGUCAACCUUUUCCGUUGACCAACCCUUAAAAAAAAAAAUUCAAAUACCACCCCUAUUAUUUUGCUUUUUUUUUUUUAUUUUAGUACUAUACGGUUUAAAGUNUCUCUGUGUAUCGCGUUUUCACCCUUUUUUUUUUUUUACCAUACUUGUUUGUUGCGUUGUACGUAUUAUUAUUAUUAUUGUUAGUACUCUAAAUUAGAAUUAGUAGUGUAUGAUUACUUUUAAUGAGUAUCAUUAUUAGGGAUAAUUUUAUUUUAACUCGUUCUAGAAUUAGUAGUGUAUGAGCAUUGCUUCGAUUUUUUUUUUUUCUUGGGAAUUAAUGUUCAGGAGGAGGAAAAAUGAAAAAUCGAAAUUUUAUGGCCCGGAAUGCAUAUAGUGGGAUUUUUUUGUUUGUUUUUUUAUGCUGCCUCUCAAUAUUUAUUUAUUUAUUUAUCUAUUUUUCUCAAUUUGGAUUUUUUUAAAAAAAAAUAUUUCAUGAAAUUAAGCAAAAUUUAAUAUAAAGUAGAAAAUGAGACAUAUAAUUUAUUUUGCGCUCGAAUUUUAGAAAAUUUAGAGAAAGUAAUGAAACUAUUAUUAAUUUUUAUUUUAUUAAAAUUAUUAUUAUUAUUAUUAUUAAUGUUGGGCUUAAGAUGGGUCCAUAAGGUGGUUGGCUAUACUUAUUUGAGGUGGACGGUGUUAAUAAAUAAUAAAUAAUAAAUAAUAAAUAAUAAUUAUUAUUAAGGGGAAAGAAACAGAAGAUACUAUGCCUUGGAUAUUGUAAUCAGAAUAUUCCCGAAGAAUAUUCCCUCUAUGUAUGUGUGUUUUUUUAAAAAUUUUUAAUUAAUGCUAAGCACGAGAUUUGUGGUGAGUGACCACCAAAAUAAGAAUCGGCACUGUAUAUAUUCUUUUAUUUUAUCUUAAAAUAAUAUGAUAAUAUAUAUAUGUUAAUAAUAAUAUGUAUGCUCCUACCACGUUCUUUGUGGGGUCUUUUUAUCACAGCAAUUUGUUUGUUUAUAUAUAUGUAUGCUAGUGAAAUGCGCUCGCUGCGGCGGAUCGAUUUUAUAAAAAUAAAUAAAAUUAAAAUAAUAAAAUAUAAAUAAAAGAAAUUAAAGAAAAACAAUAGCUGCUAUAAUAAAAGCAUAAGAAUAAAAAUAUACAAAGAAAAAAAAUAUAAAAAUUAUAAAUUAUAUUUAUAAUAGCAAUAACAGUUGAGAAUUAAAAUAUCAUAUAUCUAAUUAAAAUAUGAGUUUGAAAGCGUCACAUACUUUAUAAUUUGAGCAAGAAAAUAUUGCCCAUUAAAUUUGAGGACUAAAUUAUCACGCGUCUUAUAAUUUUAGGAUCAAUAGUGUAAUUUAUUCUUUUUAUAUUUUAAUUUUAUUCUAAAUGAAGACCGUUGGUCUGUUUUGUUCAAUCAGUAAUUUUAUCAAAAAAAAAAAAAUUGUUAAGCCAUCUAAUAAAUUUUAAUAUUAGAUUUGAGUCAAUUACUAAUGCUUUUACUUUAAAAUUUGAAUGCUUCUUUUAGCUUUAUAGAUUUAGUUACUAUACUUUAUGUAAUCUUUGUAACUAAAUUUAUUAAAAUAAAUAAUUAAUUUAAACCUCAUCAAAUUUUUUUUUAUUUAUUUUUGAGUAUAUAAUCUAUAUGUAAUUGAUUAAUAUUAUAAAACUAAAUUUUUUAUUUAAUAAUGUAAUCUAAACUAUUUAAAAGUAUAUAUAAAUAAAGUCUGGUUGGGAUUCUAUCGAUAACACCAAACGUUGGGUGCUAUUAAGUUUUUCACCGUUAGAAUUAAGUCUGUGACUAUUUUUAUCCGUUAGAUUAUACUAUUAAAUCAAUAACUUACUCAACCCUAAAGGGCUCACAUCAUCUUAACCAUAUAUUUUUUCAUCCAAGGGCCGAAAAUCUAAUAGCACAAAUAAUUUGAUACUAUUAGUAGCAUUCCAGCAUAGUUCGUAUGAAUAUUUAUAUAUUUUAUUUUUCUAUAAUAAAAGAGAAAAAAAUUAAAUUGAAUUAAAAAAUAAAGUCUAACUUUAUAAUGAAAGAAGAAAAUUAAAUUAAAAAAUUUUAAAAAAACCAUUUCUAGUGGGCCCUACACACUCCCAAACCCACCGUCCCACUCCCCCUCCUCCUGCACGAAAAAUUCUAAAAUGCAACAGGUGUAUUAGUGAUGUGGCGUAAUAAACCAAUCAAAUGUAUCAUUUUAAGAGUAUCUGUCCAAUCAUGAUUCAUGAUUGUAAAAAAAUAUUUUUAUUGUACUCUUUGUUUGAAAAGAAGGAAUGUGAUUGGCUUGUUAUUGAUGACAUUGUGCAAGUGUGACAGUGUAGAAUUCCUCCUGCACGCGCUCCCCCGCCACGUGGCAUCCGACUCUCAAUUCAUGAUAUUUAAUUUAAUAGAUAGAGAGAGAGAGAGUUGAGCUGAAAUAUUAUUAAUAAUAUUUAAACUGUUUUGUUAUAAAUUUUUUAGCUGUUAGAUCUAUACUUUAAUCAAUUUUAUCUUUUAAAUCAUACUAUUCAACCAGCUAUCCACUUAAAUCUUAGGGGGACCACUACUAAACCCUAGGGAUCACUAUUAUUCUAAUCUUAUUAUUUUUAAUCUGAUAAUUAAAAAUUCGAUAGCAAAAGAGUCUAAAUACUUUUAAUAGUAUUUCAGCCUAAUUUUCUCUCUCUCUCCUCUCUCUCUUCUCUCUAUAUUAUAUAUAUAUAUAUAUAUAUAUGGGUCCGGCUACUAUACUAUUAUGAGUACGAUCGCCUUCGUACUCAUAAGUUGUUUUCGAUGAUAGAUCUUCCGAAUCGACGAUCCACACCGUUAAACGUCAUUUUACAGCAUUUAAAACUUCCUAGAAAUCAAUUUAUAAUUUUCGACGUCAUUUACCUUACCAAACGAUCAAGAGGUCACAAAUUUGACAAUUUUUAACGGCCGGUAUGGGAUACUUGCUAGUUUAACGGUGUAAAAGAAUCGAAAUUUGUUGAAUAUUUGAUAAAAAAUUUUAUUCAAUACAUAUAUAAAGAUCAAUAACUCCGAUCUUGAAUUGAAGGAUCCGAUCAUCCUUUUUAGGACGUCGUUCGAUUUUGACCGUUCAUUUUAUACCCACUUGAUGGACUUUAUUAUAAUUUCGAAAAUUUACGAAAUUUAUUUUCUAGAAGUUUCAAAUACUCUAGAUCAUAUUUAACGGAGUGGAUCGUCGAUUUGGAAGCUCCAUCAUUGAAAACAACUUAUGAGUAUGAGGGCUCCAAUACUCAUAAUAGUAUAGUAGCCAUGGCCUAUAUAUAUAUAUACACAUAUAUAUAUAUAUGCUAAAUUAUGAGCCGUUACUAAUUGGAUAGCAUAGUUUUUCCUUUUUUUUAAUUAGUGGCGGAUUUCUUUUUCUAAAAAGAAGGAUAAACUUUAAUUUGCCUCGGUGUAAUGUUUUUCUUUUUAGAGAAACAGAUGGUUCAAAAGAUCUUCUGUUCGCUUUAUUUAUUAAGCAAAUAAAUUAGGCAAUAGAAACUGAGUCAACUAGGCUUCCGCAUAGUUGAUUUUACUUUAAAAAGUUAAAAUUAACUAUCCUAUUAUUUAGUGUGUUUUUUUACUUUACUAUCUUGUUAUUAAAAGAGUUACAAUAAAUUAUCCAGUAAUUUUAUUUUUAUUUUAGUGUAAGGACCCGAGGUUAAACUAUUCUGUAGUUUUUUUUUUCAGUGAAUAAAGUAUAGAAUAGUUAAACACAACUUUUUGAAUCAAAGACCGACUAUCUCUAAAGCAAGUGGCAAAAGGCUUGGUGAUUGGUACCCGAGAUCCAAGUUCGAAUCCUAGUUGAUUUACAUUUUUAGCUAAAUUUAUUUCUAAAUGAAAUAAAUGAAGCGAGUAGCGUGCUACCUAUUUCUCAAAAAAAAAACCUUUUUGAAUCAAAGCGGCUAAAAAUUCUUACCCAAACAGAGCUUUGGAUUUUAGUUCUUCUUUGGGCUGCAUGUUCACUUGCUCUGGGCUCUUAUGGGGGGACCAAUUUCUCUUUAAAUUGUUGAAUUUACAUGGGCUUGGUAUAAUGUAGCCUCUAUAUUAGUAGAGGUUUGGUUAGGUUACUGGGGUUGUCAAUUUUUGUAUUUUCAAAUUUUCAAAACGUUUUUGGUGUCACAUUGAAGGAGAGAUUCAUUAGUUAAUUUGCUAAGAGCCUGUUUAGAUGUUUCUUUUUUUUUUACCCUUUGCAGGAUGUCAACAGAUCGGAUUCGGGACGGAUUUUUACAAAUCCGAACCUAACUCCAAACCCGAAACUCGAACCCGAUGAAUUUUAAAAAUUCAUAUCCAAAUCUGAACCCGACCAACAAUCCUACACCCGAACCCGAAAAUUCGAAUCCGAAACAAUUAUUUCUCUUUUCAAUAUUUCAAAAUAUAUUACAUUAAAUCUAAAAUUUGAAAAUACAAAUUCAAAUAUAACAUUAAAUUUUUAUAUAUAUAUAUAUAUGUAUAUAUAAUGUAAAAUAAAUACGGGUUCGGAUCCAGUACAAUCAAAAUCCAUAUCCGAAUUCAUAUCCGUUGGAUUUUUGUUUUUGAUAUCCAUAUUCGAAACCAUAUUCGUCUAGUAUCGGAUAAAUCCGUUCUGUUCGGAUUCAAGUUCGGAUAAAAUUUCGAGU